rnacentral:lncRNA from 1 species
AUUCUUUAUGGCCUUGCUGUGAUUUGCUCCUUCUACCGGAUCCCUAUGGGUCACUGAGUAGGUGCUGGGCCACUCAAGGGGCUGUGGGAAGACUGAUGAGAGGCAUUGCUCAGCCUCUCAGAGCAAAGUGGAGCUACAGGCAUGGCCAUAGGCAAGCAUGCUGUCCCCAGCCACUAAGGGACAGAGCAGCAAGCCUCAGACAGACCUGAGAAGAGGGGGCAUGAUGGGCUGAAUCGUGACCCCCAAAAGAUGUUGAAGCCCUAAUCUCCAGUACCUGUGAAUAAGAUCUUGUUUGGAAAUAGUCUUUGCAAAUGAUCAAUUUAAGAUAAGACCAUUAGGGUGGGAUCUAAUCCAAUAUUACCACUAUCCUUACAAAAAGAGGAAAUUUGGACACAGAGCCAGACACAUGGAGGGAAGAUGAUUUCAAGACAUAGGAAGAAGAUGACCACCUUCAAGCCAAGGAAUGCCCAAGGCUACCAGAAGCCAGAAAAGAGGCCAGGAACAGAUUCUUCUUCAUUGCUGUCAGAAGGAACCAACCCUGCUAGCACCUUGAUCUUGGACUUCCAGCCUCAGAAAAGAGGCCAGGAACAGAUUCUUCUUCAUUGCUGUCAGAAGGAACCAACCCUGCUAGCACCUUGAUCUUGGACUUCCAGCCUCAGAAAAGAGGCCAGGAACAGAUUCUUCUUCAUUGCUGUCAGAAGGAACCAACCCUGCUAGCACCUUGAUCUUGGACUUCCAGCCUCAGAACUGUGUGACAAUGAAUGUCCAUUAUCUGAGACACUCUCUCAGUGUCCUUUGUCACAGCAACCCCAGGGAACUCAUACAGGAGGCAAGUGGCUUCCCCCACCAUAGCUCUGUGGUCUCCUGGGUGGGACCUGCUGUGUUGCUCUCAGAGGCUGCUUAAAAACAGCUGGCCCUGGGCCACUCUGCUGGGGCUCCUGCUUGAAGGAAGGACAGAACUUCAGGGAAUUUCCUGGAAUGUUUGCUAAAAUGAAGACUCCCAGAGGCCUCCACAGAUCUACAGAAUAAGAAUCUCUCAUGAUGGGACUCAGAAAUCUCCAAUCAAUCAUCCACCCUCCUCCUCCCUACCCCAGGAUACUGAUGCAGACAGCCUGGCCACCCCUUUUGGAGAAACACGAUUGCAGAUGACUGAUUAAAUUGUAUGGCUUUACCUCUCUUAUAUAUGCAUUUUGGGAAGCAAUACAAUUUCUGCAGGUUAAAGCCAAAGGAAUGAUGAUCUAGCUGUGAAAUGUUAGACUUCGUUGAGUUGGGUGGUGGAGACACCUCCUCAACUAGCUCUUCAGCCUAGGCUGGGCUCGUUCCUCCAGUAAAUGCAUGAUUGUUCUCAGCAGUGCUUUACAGGAUGAGAGAGAUGACAUGAGUUUCUCUUGUUCAGAGAGCAUGAAUUCAAGCACAAAACGGGGGUGAGUUUCCAGGAGGUGAAGAGCUGGAGACCAAGCAUUGUCCUACUUUGCAGCAGAGGACAGACCACCCCUUUAUCUCUGGGCACUGAUUCAUACAGUACCCCUGCAUGACCUCUCCAUUGCAAUAUGGCUAGAUGGUAUGCUGCCACAUUGGCCUGAAGUUUACAGCAAUGUCAGCACUGCCACUGCGAUCUAGGACUGAUCCUUCGACAAAAUUAGAAUCUCCCAAGAAGGUGUGGAGAGGGAGCCAACUACCACUGAAUAACAUGAGAGGCGUCACACAGGAUUAGAGAACACAGAGAAGCACACAGAGAAGGCCAUGGGAAGAUGGAGACAGAGAAUGGAGGGGUGCAGCCACAAGCCAAGGAAUGACAGGAUUGCUCACAGCAACCAGAAGCUGGAAGGAGCAAAGAAAAACCUUUUCCUAGAGACUUCAGAGGGAGUAUGGCCCGGCCGGCACCUUGAUUUGGGACUUUAGGUCUAGAGGACUAUAAAAUAAUAAAUUUCAGUUGUCUUAAGCUACCAGGUUUAUGGCUAUUUAAAGAGAGAGCUUUUCACGGAAGCCAGCAGAGAACAUAGGUGCCAGAAGCUCUUUAGACUCAGAGUGUGUUCAGGCAUCAUACUGGCCAGAAAGAAGACUGCAGGAGGAACAGAAGGAUUGAAGGACUUGAUUGGAGAAGGACAUCCACAAGUAAUACGUUCUCCAUAUUCCCUGAAAUGUCCUGGAGGACACUCUCAGACAUAGGUAGACUCAAGGAAGUUAGAACUUGAAGAUGUUUUAUGAUGGUUUUACCUGCUGUGUUUUCACAUUAAGUACCCCACCAGAAAAUGAGAAGAGACCUACCAUGAGCCAUACAUAGCUUGACCACAAUGUCAGGAAGGGAUCAUGGUUGAAGAAUUUUAGCAACUCUUUGUUUUGAAAUAAGUUGAAGUUAUUAAACCCACUGACACUAAAUUUUGACAUUUCCUGACCAGAAUGCAAUGAUCAAAACUGGAAUUUAACAGUGACACAAUCCUUACCUAAUCCAUUGUCCAUAUUUAAAUUUUGUGAGUCUUCCAAAUAAUUUCAUCUGUAACUAGUUUUCUUCUGGUCCAGGGUAGAAUCCAGCAUCAUGUAUUGCAUUUGGCUCUCCCAUCCCCUGGGUCUCCUUAAUUCCAAAAUAAUUAUUCAGCCUUUUCUACGUUUUAUUGACCUUUAUAGUUUUGAAGAAUAUGGGCUGUUACCUUGUGGUAUGCCCUUCAACUUGGGGUUCUCAGCUAUUUCUUCAUGGUUAGAUUCAGGUUAUGCAUUAUUGGCAGAAAAUCAUAGAAAUAAUGUUGUGUUCUUUUCAGUGCAUCAUAUCAGGAGGUACAUGAUGUCAGCUUGUCCUAAUAUUUUUAUGUUAACUUUUAUCAUUUUAUCAUUUGAUUAAAAGGGUGUUCACUCUGUAUCUCCCUGUUAAAUUACUAUGUUCCUCUAUGCUUAGAAAUCUAGAAGAAAUUUCCCAUCAUGUGCAGAAAUACGAACUACACACAGCAGAUUUUCAACUUCUACAAGAAGAUGGCAGAAGACAUGAACAAUGAAUUGGAAAGAAUCACUUCCUUUUACCAAAAGGAGAUUCUCUUCUAUGAGGAAGAGCUCAAGAAAGCUGGGCAGCAGUUCUGCUGACUGAGAUAAAGCUCCAUGAGCUAAAACAACAAAAUGAUGGCAACAGGCAAAUCAUGGCUGAUGUGGAGUUCAAGUUCCAGCCUUUCCCAAGCAGCCCCUUUGCUCCUGCUGCUCCAGGCGCAGCUCACAGAGGAGUGGAAGUACUAGGGGCCCCCUGGGUCAUCAGGUUCCCAGCAAGGAAGAGGCAGGUGCUGUGAGGCUCAGGGAUCCAGGGGUACCUGCAGGUUUCACUCAGAGUUUAUGAUUUGUUUGUUUUCGUCCUUAAAAGUAAUUUUCAUUUAUCUUCUAGUUAAGCUACUGUUAUUUAAUUGAUGUGCAAUUUCUCUUUCUGAAGUUUUAUAGUACUAUAAUUUCUAAAAUUGUAUUUUUAAAUAUACAUUUAUUUAAAAUAGCUCUUAUGAAUACAUUAUUUCAAAAUCAUUGGACCCUCUAAAAUUAUAUGCAUAAGUAUUAUAUUUUGAUUUAAAUAACAGGUCCACUAUGAUUUAAACUGUCAUCAAAAUUGGACAUGAAUAGAAACAUGGAAAACAAUAAAGUUCACUUCUGUAAGCUAUUAUUA